rnacentral:rRNA from 1 species
AUUGAACGCUGGCGGCAGGCUUAACACAUGCAAGUCGAACGAGUGGCGGACGGGUGAGUAAUGCUUGGGAAUCUGGCUUAUGGAGGGGGAUAACGACGGGAAAAUGUCGCUAAUACCGCGUACCAUGGUAUGAGCCAAAGUUGGAGUAGGUAGUUGGUGGGGUAAAGGCCUACCAAGCUGACGAUCUCUAGCUGGUCUGAGAGGAUGACCAGCCACACUGGAACUGAGACACGGUCCAGACUCCUACGGGAGGCAGCAGUGGGGAAUAUUGCACAAUGGGCGCAAGCCUGAUGCAGCCAUGCCGCGUGUAUGAAGAAGGUUUUCGGGUUGUAAAGUACUUUCAGCGGGGAGGCGUUAACCGAAGAAGAAGCCCCGGCUAACUCCGUGCCAGCAGCCGCGGUAAUUC